rnacentral:rRNA from 1 species
AAGGAUCAUUAGCGAGUGAGGGCCUUUAUAGGCUCGACCUCCAACCCUUUGUCUACCAUACCUCAAGUUGCUUCGGCGGGUCCGUUCUUGGACCGCCGGAGGGCUAUUCGCCCUCUGGCCCGCACCCGCCGACGGCCCUCAACCAAAACUUCUUAACAAAAGAUGUCUGAAUAGUUUGAGAAAAGUCAAUAGUUAAAAACUUUCAACAACGGAUCUCUUGGUUCUGGCAUCGAUGAAGAACGCAGCGAAAUGCGAUAAGUAAUGCGAAUUGCAGAAUCCGUGAGUCAUCGAAUCUUUGAACGCACAUUGCGCCCCUUGGUAUUCCGAGGGGCAUGCCUGUUCGAGCGUCAUUAUCACCCCUCAAGCUUUGGCUUGGUGUUGGGCUACAGGCUGUCUUUUCCCGGCGGCCGGCCUCAAAGACAGUGACGGCGUCCCAGAAGGAACCGGUACGAGGAGCCUUUCCAAGCAUGUACGCGGCAUGAUUCUGUCGGGCGGCGGUCUUUGUACUUAUCAUAUCUAAGUGUUGACCUCGGAUCAGGUAGGAAUACCCGCUGAACUUAA